GCGUUUGAACACACAACUCUGGGGCAGUGUUUAAGUCUUUAGCCACGGUCUCAGGAAGUCAACACCAAAGACGCCAUAGACCUUCUCCUUGACGAUAACCAAAAAGCUGUCAGUGGUUUCAUACUUUCAGCCGUUGCAAAUGACACGGAACUCUUGAUUGAGGGUGGCCUAGUGGUUAGAGUGUAGGGGCCUAGUGGUUAGAGUGUAGGGGCGGUAGGAAGCCUAGUGGUUAGAGUGUAGGGGUGGUAGGAAGCCUAGUGGUUAGAGUGUAGGGGUGGUAGGAAGCCUAGUGGUUAGAGUGUAGGGGCGGUAGGUAGCCUAGUGGUUAGAGUGUAGGGGCGGUAGGUGGCCUAGUGGUUAGAGUGUAGGGGCGGUAGGUAGCCUAGUGGUUAGAGUGUAGGGGCGGUAGGUGGCCUAGUGGUUAGAGUGUAGGGGCGGUAGGUGGCCUAGUGGUUAGAGUGUAGGGGCGGUAGGUGGCCUAGUGGUUAGAGUGUAGGGGCGGUAGGUGGCCUAGUGGUUAGAGUGUAGGGGCGGUAGGUGGCCUAGUGGUUAGAGUGUAGGGGCGGUAGGUAGCCUAGUGGUUAGAGUGUAGGGGCGGCAGGUAGCCUAGUGGUUAGAGUGUAGGGGCGGUAGGUGGCCUAGUGGUUAGAGUGUAGGGGCGGUAGGUGGCCUAGUGGUUAGAGUGUAGGGGCGGUAGGUGGCCUAGUGGUUAGAGUGUAGGGGCGGUAGGUGGCCUAGUGGUUAGAGUGUAGGGGCGGUAGGUGGCCUAGUGGUUAGAGUGUAGGGGCGGUAGGUGGCCUAGUGGUUAGAGUGUAGGGGCGGUAGGUGGCCUAGUGGUUAGAGUGUAGGGGGGUAGGUGGCCUAGUGGUUAGAGUGUAGGGGCGGUAGGUGGCCUAGUGGUUAGAGUGUAGGGGCGGUAGGUGGCCUAGUGGUUAGAGUGUAGGGGCGGUAGGUGGCCUAGUGGUUAGAGUGUAGGGACGGCAGGGUAGCCUAGUGGUUAGAGUGUAGGGGCGGUAGGUAGCCUAGUGGUUAGAGUGUAGGGGCGGUAGGUAGCCUAGUGGUUAGAGUGUAGGGGCGGUAGGUGGCCUAGUGGUUAGAGUGUAGGGGCGGUAGGUAGCCUAGUGGUUAGAGUGUAGGGGGGCAGGUAGCCUAGUGGUUAGAGUGUAGGGGCGGUAGGUGGCCUAGUGGUUAGAGUGUAGGGGCGGUAGGUGGCCUAGUGGUUAGAGUGUAGGGGCGGUAGGUGGCCUAGUGGUUAGAGUGUAGGGGCGGUAGGUAGCCUAGUGGUUAGAGUGUAGGGGCGGUAGGUGGCCUAGUGGUUAGAGUGUAGGGGCGGUAGGUAGCCUAGUGGUUAGAGUGUAGGGGCGGUAGGUAGCCUAGUGGUUAGAGUGUAGGGGCGGUAGGUGGCCUAGUGGUUAGAGUGUAG